rnacentral:rRNA from 1 species
GCGUGUAGCAAUACACGAGUGGCGCACGGGUGAGUAACACGUGGAUAUCUGCCUUUUGGUUCGGAAUAACCCUGGGAAACUAGGGCUAAUACCGAAUGGUUCCUACGGGAUAAAGAUUUAUCGCCAAAAGAUGAGUCCGCGUCCGAUUAGCUAGUUGGUGAGGUAAUGGCUCACCAAGGCGACGAUCGGUAGCUGGUCUGAGAGGACGAUCAGCCACACUGGGACUGAGACACGGCCCAGACUCCUACGGGAGGCAGCAGUGGGGAAUAUUGGACAAUGGGGGCAACCCUGAUCCAGCCAUGCCGCGUGAGUGAUGAAGGCCUUCGGGUUGUAAAGCUCUUUUGGCGGGGACGAUGAUGACGGUACCCGCAGAAUAAGCCCCGGCUAACUUCGUGCCAGCAGCCGCGGUAAGACGAAGGGGGCUAGCGUUGUUCGGAAUUACUGGGCGUAAAGCGCGUGUAGGCGGUUGCCAUAGUCAGGUGUGAAAGCCUUGAGCUUAACUCAAGAAAUGCACUUGAUACUGGGCGACUAGAGGACCGGAGAGGAUAGUGGAAUUCCCAGUGUAGUGGUGAAAUACGUAGAGAUUGGGAAGAACACCAGUGGCGAAGGCGGCUAUCUGGACGGUUCUGACGCU